GCCUGGGUGGCUCAGUCGGUUGAGCAUCUGACUUCAGCUCGGGUCAUGAUCUCACAGUCCGUGAGUUCGAGCCCCACGUCGGGCU
rnacentral:tRNA from 1 species